rnacentral:lncRNA from 1 species
GGGCCAAGUAGGUCCUGACGAGGAUGUCAGGGAUUUAAGUGGAGAAGAUUGUGAUAGUCCCACAUCGGUGGGAUAAAAAAGUUAGAGGGGUAUAAAAUAAUUUUAGUGGGCUAUAACCAUAACUUGGGCUAUAGCAUUUUGAGCUGCGUAGUUUUGGAUCCAACAAGUUGGGUUGGGGCGUUACACCAUUGCUGCUCAUAAGUGUGAAGAGUAGCCACAUGAUG